rnacentral:misc_RNA from 1 species
CUGAGUACUACACUCUCUACCCUUUGUGAACUAUUAUACCUGUUGCUUCGGCGGCGCCCGCGAGGGUGCCCGCCGGUCUCAUCAGAAUCUCUGUUUUCGAACCCGACGAUACUUCUGAGUGUUCUUGGCGAACUGUCA